ensembl:lncRNA
AAUUGCUUACAUUUUAGUCUCUAUUUCAUACUUGUUAUGUUGUCUCAUCACAGAAACCAAGAAAUCUAAAAUGAGAACAGUUUUAUUGGGAAUUCGACUGCAGUAAAAUACAAUUUAUGUGAGCACAGGGAGCAGGAGAGAAGUAAACACAUGUAAAGAGUUUAGGUUGCACUGGAACACAACAUGAAAACACAAAAACACACCAAAGUAUUUAAUAUAUUUUCACCAUAUGGGACCUUUAAUGCUUUAGCUUAGCAGCAGAGUGUUGCUAACCAGUACUGUAUAACCCCAGGGGAACUCCAGUCCUUGAACCUCGUCUCAUUUGCUGUCUUUGUGUUAAAUGAAUAGCCUAAUGAGUUGCCCUUUGCAAUAGCCUUCCACUUGUCAAAUAUCCCCUUCAUCACAGAGAAAGAGAGUGCGUCUGCCGGACUGUGUACUGUAAUGUGUGUCGAUUAGCUCGUUUUCCUCUUCUUGGCUCGGAGACUGAGCGUCUGGCUAGCGGCCACAGCGAAAGAGUGAAGACAGAAGGGUGUGAAGUCUGCAAUCAGACUGCCGUCCCUGUGACAUUUUUCUAUUAACAGGAGACUAUUUGGAGACUCUUUUUUUGAUCUUAUCUCGCUAAAAAAUUCCAUCGCUGCUCUUUAAAGUGUAGAAAAGCCAACUGACACCAAUCAAAUCGUCGGAGCUUGAAUGAAUCUGUCCUGUUCUCACAAGCUGUCGGCUGUGUGGAAAGUUUUCACUCGGCUCAGAAGUGUUAGCACGUCGCAAUAUGCUGUUUUUUCCAAUAAUUUGCAGAAAUUCGAGGCGGCAUGGAAGCUCACGAGAUGGAGAUGUCUGGCUUUAUAAUAUGUGUUUGAUAUUAAUACGCUAAAUAUAUUGGAAUAGAAGAAGGUUCCAACAAAACAAAACCACAAAGCAUCCUGCAGUUAUUCGAUAAUUGCAAACACAGAUGGCUAUAAAAUGACAUUUGUUGAAAGCCACAGUGCAUUUCAGCAAUGAUACUAAUAUCCAUCUACAGACUGAGUACACUAGACAUAAACAAAGAAGAUGUUUUCUUCUGUACAACUGUCCUGAUGUACAUCUGGUGUUGGGGACAACCACUGUAGCAGACAAGCUAACCGCUAACACGCGACCUAAAGCUAUCAUGCUAACUGCAGACUUCAUUAAUCCAGUAAAUGAAGCGAAGGAAUCUGAACUAGUGAUCUGACCAGCUUUAAGAUAAAAACCAAACUAACUGUGAAUUAGUAGCUUGUUAGCUCAGUCGCUAAUGAGACAACUUAAUCACAAAAGUCUGCAGUUGUGUUAGCUCUUUAGUGAAGCAGCUUAUACUUUGACACGACAAAAAACUAGCUAAAAAGCUACAGUAGCGUCAUUCAUUGCAUCCAAGCCUAAACCUACCAUUAGAAUUUUUAAUAUUGCAAAUGUGCCCUCACUGAAAUUAACAGAUUAGAUUUGUUUUUAAUGCAGCUAGGCUCGAAAUUGAGUCUUAAAGAUGUUGUUGGGCUUUUCCUCUUUGCUUUAGUGUUUUAUAUAGCGGCUUUUUGUGCAUUUAAAACGUCGACAAACUUACAAACCCCAAAAUCCAUCACAAAUGGAGUUGCUUCAUCUCUUUGAAAACACUUCUUCUUACAUGCCUGAAACACCUUGAGUGAAGUUCUUCUGUUACUUAUUGAUGUCAUCAUGUGACACAUUUGCAUAACACCAGCCAGGCAGCUAGUUUGACCCUCAAACAAAGAAUGACCAGCAGAUUCAUCACUAUUUCAUCGCUAGAGUCUCUUCUGUUAGCGCUAUGUCUCUCUACCUAUACUCAUAGAUCCUGAGUUACAGUACAUAUCCAAGUUUGGCUAGCUUUUGUUGGACCAGCUGACCAAUCAGAGCAGAAUGGGUGGCCUUAAAGAGACAUGAGCAAAAAUAGAGCAUUUCAGGGGGUGAGGUUAGGUGAUAUAACAAUGUACAUUGUAAGAAAAGCAUGUAAACAUGUUCUAAUAGACCUUAAAAGUAAAAAUAUAAACCUGCAAAUAUGCAUUAUAUGGGCUCUUUAAAAUGCUCCUAAAAUAUGAAAAUUCAAAGAUUGACAUUCCCAUGACAAAUGUGCAAACUACUAUUAUUUAAAGCUCCAGAAAAACUUCUAAUUGGACCUAGUAAUAAUAGUUUUCUCGAUUCCCUGCGUCAAUAAUGAACUCAAACUGCAUCUACUAUUAGAGCUGCAAUGAUUAAUCAUUUAACUGUCAACUAUUAUUCAUAAUCUAUUUUCAUCAUUAAUUAAUCCAUUUGGGCUAUUCUUUUAGAAAAACUGUCAAAAUUCUUUGAUUACAGCUUGGAUAUUUGGUUUCUUUGCUUGUUUCUUUCCUCCUCUACAACAGAAAACUGAAUAUCUUUGGGUCUGGGACCAAACAAGACUUUUAAGGACGUCAUGUUGGGCUUUGAGGGACAUUUUUUGACAUUUUAUUACCAAAAAGCGAAUUGAUUAAUCGCAAAAAUGAUCCACAGAUUAACCAACAUUGAAAAUAGCCAUUGCCUCUUUGGAUAGAUUACCCUGUUAUUUGAAUAUGGAAGGUAUCAGUCAGGAACCAACCACAGAGAUUUUGCUGUAUUGUCUCUGAGUGAAAAACAGUGAAUGUGGGUUGAGGAACGACAGCCCAAGGUUAUGAAUCGGAGCUCCCACUGUGUCUGCCCUAGUUGAAGAGGCUGAGGCUCUCUUGUCGGCUUCACCACAACAGAAAGGAAAACUUGUUAGCAACGAUUGUAGCCGCAGCAGCUCCUCUGACGGUGCAAACACAUAGUUUAUCUUAAUUAGUUUGCAAGUGGCCCCCGUCUUUUGAAGAAGCAGAUCUCCUUUCUACCUUUCAGCGUUCCGGUGAAUGACCUUGUCCUUUUUGCUCUGUGAGACGCUUUGAUGCAGAAAAAGGAGUUGUUUAGGGAAAUGGGUGCAGCACGGAUUAAGGGAAGUGACAUUGGUAGCGUUAAUGGAUGGUUUUUCAAAGGAGCAGGAGUGUGUGGACUCUAAUACUGCAGCUCUCCAUAUCCUACGGCGUGGUAAAUCUCCCACAGGGCUUGUCCUGCUCGCUGCUCGGCUAUUCACCGCCCAUCAUUAGGAUGGACUCCAUGUCACUUCUCACUUCAGCGCUCUCUCUUUCUCUCUCUGCUUUCUCAAGCCCAAAGGGGGUUGGUGAGCAAAUCCUCGCUUGGCCUCCUCGUCUACUUUCCCUGCUUUUUUUUUUUUUUUUUUAAAUUCCACUCUCUGCCUCCCCCAUUCCUCCCUCCUCUUCCCCUCGUCUUGUCAAAUCACUUGGCUUCUCGCCCAGUCGGGCUGACUGUACCGUCCUGCAGGGCGCUGGAGGUUUUUUUCUUUCAGACGUCUUGUGCCCAGGAGGCGUGGAAAUAAACAAGGAAAGGGCAAGAAGAUGUCAAAAAACAACAGGAAUAUCUGGCAGCAACAAAAAAAUAAAGAAAUUAAGCUAAAGCUAGUAUAUUAACAAACAUUCUCUGCAUCUAAAACCUUGUCUUUGUUCUUGCCAACAGAGAAAAUGAAAAGAUAAACCGAUAAAUUAAUCUGUCCGCACUUUGUGACUUCCUUAACCUGUCUGUAGGCAGACCAAAGAUAUCCAAAAGUUUCAUUUUGUAACCACACUCCCACACAAACUUGCAAAAAAUACAUUUAUUUGUGAUGUUUUGGUGCUAAACCUUCAUCAGACCUGAUAGCAUCCCCGUUCCUUUUUGACACAUUUGAAGUUUUAGCACCAAAGCAUCACAAAUAAAUGUGUUUGUGCAAGUUAGACAGUAUAUUCUCCUCCAUCUCCUGUGCAGAAAUGACUUUGUUUGACUCCUGCACACUGUCAAGCCUGCAAAAGUACAACUGUUAGCAAUGUUUCGGUGCCAAACCUUCAUCAGGCCUGAUACCACCAUCACUACACCUUUUUGCAUGUUCGUUUAAUGAAGUUCUUGCACUAAAAAGUCACAAAUUGGUAUAUUUUUGCAGGAUAAACAGUGUGCAUGAGUCAGUUUGAACCUUUAAGAUGUGUUAGUCUAUCUCCAUCUUGUGAAAUAGAUGUGCAAAAAGUUCCUUUGUCCCUCUAAAGAUGUAAAUCCUCGAGCAAAUAUGACCUAAACAGGAGUAGACUGUGGAUUUGUAUGGGACUAUUUUCUGUCGCGUAUGAAUACACAUUUGGUGCUAAAGUGAGUAUUUCCAGUUCGCAGGUCAGUAUUUGAGGCUCAAAAUCUUUUGCAAUGUUUUUUCAUGCUAAUAAAAGAAGAAACACUGUAAACCUUGCAAAAAUACAUUUAUUGGCAAUGUUUUGGUGCUAGACCUUCAUCCAGCCUGUUAACGUCACUAUACCUUUGUGUAAAUUUGCGUGAUAAAGUGCUAGCAUCAGAAUGUUUGAAAUAAAUUGUAUUUUGCAAGUUACAGUGUGUAAUGGUCUAAGUAAUUUCCUCAAACAGCUGGACAUUGUGGUUUUUAGCUCAUAUGACUUAAACAGGAGUAAAUAGCGGAUUUGUUAGGGAUUAUUUUCUGCAGCGUAUUAAUACACAUUUAAUGCUAAACUGGGUAUUUCCAGUUAGCAGGACACUACAUGAGGCUGAGACUAAAAGUCUUUUGCAAUGCUUGUUCGUGUUAAUGAAAGUUUUGACCAGCCUCCUGCUGCAAAAAUUCAUUUAUGUGUAGUGUUUACAUCACUAUACCUUUUUGCAUAUUUGCGCAAUAAAGUGCUAGCAUCAAAAUGUUAGAAAUAAAUUAGAUUUCUGCAAAUUACAGCAUGUAAAAUAGUCUAAGUAAUUUCCUAAAACAGCUAUACACUAUGGUUUUUAGCAAAUAUGACUGAAACAAGAGUAAAUAGUGGAUUCAUAAGGGACUAUUUUCUACGGUGUAUUAAUGCACAUUUGAUGCUAAAGUGGGUUUUUACAUUUAGCAGGACAGUAUGCAAGGUUGAGGCUUUAAGUCUAUUAUAAAAUAAUGAUGCUAUUAGAGGAAAAUGUCACUCAGUGCAACAGUGUGGCUCAUUAAUGUACUUUUUAGUAGUUUUUGGAGAAGAGCAGAGCUUUGGUGUGCGGAGGAAUAUGACCUAUCAGGUUCUGGAUGUUGUUGGUUCCUGUAAUUUCAUGAGAUUUAAAGUGAGAAAAAUGUUAAAUAUCACCAGAUUUAUGUUUGUUUGUGUUUUUAAAGUGCAAACCUAAUCAUCAGUGAUACUUUUUCCACUAUAUUGAUCACCAGCUUUAGAGUUAAAACACAAGUUAUUUUUCUAAAUACCAUGUUAUGAAUAGGCUUUAAAGAAUGUCAAACAUGAAUGUCAACACUUGGAGACUCUGUGCCAUUGUGUUCUUCCCUUUACUGCUCAGUGAGAAUGACAUUCCUCCAGUUUAAGUGUGGUUUUUUUUUUUUCAACUCGAGGCUCUCUAUUAUCAAGCCCAUCCAUGUUAGCCAAAGGGCACCAAGUUCCAAUUUAGUUCCUGUAAUUUAUUCCGUAGCUUUAAGCAACAUGUGUAUGUACCCACCAUUCAUUCAGUAUGUACCUAAUUUUUUAUUCAGUUUAUACUUUACAUAUUUUGUGUAAUAUUUCCCCAUAAAUAUCCUGUAACAUCCAGAUUAAGUCUAAAGGGAAAUGCUGUAAUGCUGUUUUGUGCAGGUUCCGUAAUGAGAAAUAUUUCAUUAAUCACUUUAUUAAUAAAUUUAUUUGCUUCAG